AACGAACGCUGGCGGCAUGCCUAACACAUGCAAGUCGAACGAUUGCCUUCGGGUGAUAGUGGUGCACGGGUGCGUAACGCGUGGGAAUCUGCCCUUAGGUUCGGAAUAACAGCUGGAAACGGCUGCUAAUACCGGAUGAUAUCGCGAGAUCAAAGAUUUAUCGCCUGAGGAUGAGCCCGCGUUGGAUUAGGUAGUUGGUGGGGUAAAGGCCUACCAAGCCGACGAUCCAUAGCUGGUCUGAGAGGAUGAUCAGCCACACUGGGACUGAGACACGGCCCAGACUCCUACGGGAGGCAGCAGUGGGGAAUAUUGGACAAUGGGCGCAAGCCUGAUCCAGCAAUGCCGCGUGAGUGAUGAAGGCCCUAGGGUUGUAAAGCUCUUUUACCCGGGAAGAUAAUGACUGUACCGGGAGAAUAAGCCCCGGCUAACUCCGUG
rnacentral:rRNA from 1 species